rnacentral:lncRNA from 1 species
CAUAUUUUAAUUUAUUUUAGUGGCUAUUUUUAAGCUUCUAAUAGCAAGAGUAUUAAUUAUAGACAUUUUUAAGCUAAUAAAUGUGAAGAUUUUAUAGAGAGACUAAAGUUUUUUAAAUCUUUUGAAAGAAGAGAAGUUCAUUGAGUUAUUCUUCUCAAGCAUAUUAUGAGGAACUCAAAGAAAAAAAAAGAAAGAAUUAAGGAGUGUCAUAAAUUCAACCCUUUUUACAUUCAAUUAGUCUGAA